GCCCAUUAAAGCGGCACGCGAGCUGGGUUUAGAACGUCGUGAGACAGUUCGGUCUCUAUCCGCCGCGCGCGUCAGAAACUUAAGGAGACCUGUCCCUAGUACGAGAGGACCGGGACGGACGAACCUCUGGUGUACCAGUUGUUCCACCAGGAGCAUCGCUGGAUAGCUACGUUCGGGCAGGAUAACCGCUGAAAGCAUCUAAGCGGGAAACCUACUCCAAGAUGAGGUUUCUCACCCACUUGGUGGGAUAAGGCCCCCCGUAGACCACGGGAUCGAUAGGCCAGACCUGGAAGCUCAGUAAUGAGUGUAGGGAACUGGCACUAACCGGCCGAAAACUUACUAAC
rnacentral:rRNA from 1 species